CCGGUACAAGCGGGGUAGGUGUGUGACAGGCAAAUCCGUCACAUAAGCCGAAGACGUGAUGUGGAGCGAAAUUAAGUAGUGAAGUAUGUGAGCCAUGUGCCGAGAAAAGCCGCUAUUGUUUUAUAUGUGCCCGUACCGUAAACCGACACAGGUGGAUGAGGAGAGAAUCCUAAGGCCGACGGAAGAAGCAUUGUUAAGGAAUUCGGCAAAAUGACCCCGUAACUUCGGGAGAAGGGGUGCCCACUGAAUGGUGGGCCGCAGAGAAUAGGCUCAAGCAACUGUUUAGCAAAAACACAGGUCUAUGCGAAACCGAAAGGUGAAGUAUAUGGGCUGACGCCUGCCCGGUGCUGGAAGGUUAAGAGGAGAGGUUAGCGCAAGCGAAGCUUUGAAUUUAAGCCCCAGUAAACGGCGGCCGUAACUAUAACGGUCCUAAGGUAGCGAAAUUCCUUGUCGGGUAAGUUCCGACCCGCACGAAAGGCGUAAUGAUUUGAGCACUGUCUCGACAAUGCAUCCGGUGAAAUUGAAGUACCAGUGAAGAUGCUGGUUACCCGCGCCAGGACGGAAAGACCCCAUGGAGCUUUACUCCAGUUUGAUACUGGGAUUCGGUACUGCACGUACAGGAUAGGUGGGAGACUGAGAACUAUGGACGCCAGUCUGUAGGGAGUCGCUGUUGGGAUACCACCCCUGUAGUACUGGGUUUCUAACCAUCUGCCGUGAUCCGGCAGUGGGACAAUGUCAGGCGGGGAGUUUGACUGGGGCGGUCGCCUCCGAAAGGGUAUCGGAGGCGCUCAAAGGUUCCCUCAGAAUGGUCGGAAACCAUUUGAAGAGUGCAAAGGCAGAAGGGAGCUUGACUGCGACACCGACGGGUGGAGCAGGUACGAAAGUAGGACUUAGUGAUCCGGUGGUAUAAAGUGGGAUUGCCAUCGCUCAACGGAUAAAAGCUACCCUGGGAUAACAGGCUUAUCACUCCCAAGAGUUCACAUCGACGGAGUGGUUUGGCACCUCGAUGUCGGCUCAUCGCAUCCUGGGGCUGUAGCAGGUCCCAAGGGUUGGGCUGUUCGCCCAUUAAAGCGGUACGCGAGCUGGGUUCAGAACGUCGUGAGACAGUUCGGUCCCUAUCCGGCGCGGGCGGAGGAUAUUUGAGAGGAGCUGUCCUUAGUACGAGAGGACCGGGAUGGACGGACCACUGGUGUAUCUGUUGUCGACCAACGGCAUGGCAGAGUAGCCAAGUCUGGAAGGGAUAAACGCUGAAGGCAUCUAAGCGUGAAGCCCCCCUCAAGAUGAGAUAUCCCUCCUUCGGGAGUAAGACCCCUUGAAGACUACAAGGUAGAUAGGGCAGAGGUGGAAGUGUGGCAACACAUGGAGCUGACUGUUACUAAUAGGUCGAGGGCUC
rnacentral:rRNA from 1 species